rnacentral:rRNA from 1 species
AUUGAACGCUGGCGGCAGGCCUAACACAUGCAAGUCGAACGAGUGGCGGACGGGUGAGUAAUGUCUGGGAAACUGACUGAUGGAGGGGGAUAACUACUGGAAACGGUAGCUAAUACCGCAUACCAUCAGAUGUGCCCAGAUGGGAUUAGCUUGUUGGUGGGGUAACGGCUCAACACGGCGACGAUCCCUAGCUGGUCUGAGAGGAUGACCAGCCAAACUGUAGUGGCGACCCGGUCCAGACUCCUCCGGGAGGCAGCAGUGGGGAAUAUUGCACAAUGGGCGAAAGCCUGAUCCAGCCAUGCCGCGUGUAUGAAGAAGGCCUUCGGGUUGGAAAGUACUUUCAGCGGGGAGGCGUUACCCGCAGAAGAAGCACCGGCUAACUCCGUGCCAGCCGCCGCGGUAAUUC